rnacentral:rRNA from 1 species
CAGCAGCCACGGUAAUACGAAGGGGGCUAGCGUUGCUCGGAAUCACUGGGCGUAAAGGGUGCGUAGGCGGGUUUUUAAGUCAGAGGUGAAAUCCUGGAGCUCAACUCCAGAACUGCCUUUGAUACUGAAAGUCUUGAGUAUGGGAGAGGUGAGUGGAACUGCGAGUGUAGAGGUGAAAUUCGUAGAUAUUCGCAAGAACACCAGUGGCGAAGGCGGCUCACUGGCCCAUAACUGACGCUGAGGCACGAAAGCGUGGGGAGCAAACAGGAUUAGAUACCCCAGUAGUCCCUGUCUCUUAUAC